rnacentral:misc_RNA from 1 species
GAUGAAGAACGCAGCGAAAUGCGAUAAGUAAUGUGAAUUGCAGAAUUCAGUGAAUCAUCGAAUCUUUGAACGCACAUUGCGCCCCCUGGUAUUCCGGGGGGCAUGCCUGUUCGAGCGUCAUUUCACCACUCAAGCCUCGCUUGGUAUUGGGCAACGCGGUCCGCCGCGUGCCUCAAAUCGUCCGGCUGGGUCUUCUGUCCCCUAAGCGUUGUGGAAACUAUUCGCUAAAGGGUGUUCGGGAGGCUACGCCGUAAAACAACCCCAUUUCUAAGGUUGACCUCGGAUCAGGUAGGGAUACCCGCUGAACUUAAACAUAUCAAUAAGCGGAGGA